rnacentral:rRNA from 1 species
UAAGGAAUAUUGGUCAAUGGACGCAAGUCUGAACCAGCCAUGCCGCGUGGAGGAUGAAGGUCCUCUGGAUUGUAAACUUCUUUUAUCGGCGAAGAAACCCAUACUUUCUAGUGUGGUUGACGGUACCCGAUGAAUAAGCACCGGCUAACUCCGUGCCAGCAGCCGCGGUAAUACGGAGGGUGCAAGCGUUAUCCGGAUUCACUGGGUUUAAAGGGUGCGUAGGUGGGUUGGUAAGUCAGUGGUGAAAUCUCCGGGCUUAACUCGGAAACUGCCGUUGAUACUAUCAAUCUUGAAUGUUGUGGAGGUAAGCGGAAUAUGUCAUGUAGCGGUGAAAUGCUUAGAUAUGACAUAGAACACCGAUAGCGAAGGCAGCUUGCUACACAAUAAUUGACACUGAGGCACGAAAGCGUGGGGAUCAAA